UCUAUCUCGUACACCUUGAUCUCAAAGGUUUCUGCUGUUGCAGUUGCAGCCCGGAGGUUUGAGGGAGUUGGGGGACCAAGAGGGCCAUCUACCCAGCAUGCACCUGGGCUUGAGGAGGAGGAAGAAGAGGAGGUGAUGGUCUGUUUGGAGGAACGGUGAGAGGGUGAGGAGGAUGAAGAGUCCAAGGUCAGUGCUGGGAUCAGGCGGCGACGCUGGAGACCUGAAAGAACAUUAAGAUUAAGCUCCUCUAUCCUCUGCUGGAUCUGUGCCUCCUCCUUGGGCAUGACUCCUGGAACGGGAGCCUGCACUUCCCUGGAGGAGCUCUGAGAUGCGGCCGUUGACGGCCCUGAGAGGCAGCUUGGCAGCUAGGCUUCCCCCUCGACUGCGACUCAAAGACUGGGUAGACCAGGAUCCAGUGGAAGGUCCCUGCUGCUGCACUGGGCCCUGGACUGAACUCUGAGGCUGAGGAAACAUAAAGGAGGAAGGCUGGAGCUCCGGCUGGAAGCUUGGCUCAGAGACUUGGUGGAAAAGCUGAGCGUCUUGGUGCUGGAGGCAGACAGACUCCUGGCUUUGGGACUGCUGGUCAUCAGCAGCUUACUGACUGCUGAGAUCUUUGACUGGCCGCUGCUUUUGGCUGGUGACUGUGGAGCACUGCUUGGACUGGGACUGGCACUGAAGCUAGGACUACUGGGGCCUCCAGUAGGAGAAGACACUGAUCCAGCACGUGUCAGGCUGCGCCCUGUGCGAGGCAUGGUGCUGUCCCCCCUCACUCCUCCUCCUUCUCCUCCUCUCAGGCUGCCCCCCCUCUCCAGAGAGAAACAGUCAUAGUGGUGGGAACCACUAUGGGAAUUGUGGACCCGACCCAGAGAGUUGGUUCUGCUCGCAAGCUGUUCUAACUUGGCGCUGAAGAGUCUGCUGCUGUCGAUGCUGGAGCCCCGCUGUCUGGCGUUACCUGCGAGGCCACAUCCUGACAUCCCAGCAUCAUCUACUGAGCUCAGAGAUGAUAGAUGGUGGAGAGGACUGGCUGCCCUGUUCCUCUGGUCCAAGCUGGACUUCCGUACAGGUGGAAGAGGUGGUAUUCCCCCCUUCUUGUGGGAGAAGAAGCCCUGUUUCCCAUUUGAUCCUCUGCGGUCGAGUGUGGAACGGGGACUACAGGGAGUAGAAGUUGUGACGCCAAGGUUACGAUACUCAUUUCCGUUGUCUAAGCCGUCAUGGCGGUUAAGACGGUGCCAGCCUCGGGGAAGACUGGCAGUGCGGUGGAUGUCUGCAUUGUAGAUACUAGUGAGGCAGUCUCCCUGGGCAACAACAGCAACCAUCUCACAGCCAUCCACCACUCGCUUAAAGGAAUCUGGAGAUGACACAACCUCGCCACCUGAACUGGAGCUGCCAUGAUCCCCACCUGAUGAUGGAAGCAGAGUGAAUAAGAGCAAAGAUAAAGGUUAUUCAAAAAGACAAGAAAGUAAUUUCACUUUAAACAACAGUCCAUCUGUGUGUACCAUCAGAGUACAGUGAAGGAGGCAGGUGACAGAUAAAGAUAGUGUGAAAAGAUAGACCUGAGAGUGAGUGCACUUAAACUAGAAGAGUCUGGAGGAAAGAGCGGCAAAAUGCAUCAGAAUUAUAUGUUAUGUACAUAUGUAUGUCGUUCCCAUGAGCAAGUGACCUAGCCUUAAUAAGACCAGGGUUUGGGUUGAGAGGGUUGUAGCUCAGGUAAAUGGCUACUGACAUAAUGCUAUAAUGCUCUACUAUCCAGAUAUAAACAUGCACAGAUGGCAUCUCCGGCGCAGUUUUGCAGUAUUUAUCUAGAAAAUGGAGAUAAAGUUGUGUGUAGGCUGUUUCUGAUUAAACUGGUAUAUAACCAGGACCAAUGCGUUACCACCACGGGCCUGUAGUGAUUAACCUAUCAGGAGGACCAAAGGCUGGUGGGGCCAGCUUUGUUUGCUUAGACGCACUCAGAAAACCAAUUUGUUGUUGUUAACCUGCAGAUACAGUUUUGACAGUCUUUCUUACCUCUAUACUAGUUGGUAAGAUAGAGUUUAAAUGUGUUAAAAUGUUAACAACUAGUAAAUUAAUCACUUCUGAAAAUUCCUACGUUUAAUAUUUCUACCACUUAGUUAAAUUUUCUUUUAAAAGCUAAUACACUGAAGCUUAACCUUGCUCUCUAGAAGGGCAAAAGAAGAAAAUUAAUGGAAACAUAGACUUGUGUUUAUUUAGGAGGAAGUCCUUCCUUCAAAAGUAAUAACACUUUAUGAUGACCAACAGGUCAG